rnacentral:tRNA from 1 species
AUUUAAAUAGUUUAUAAAAAUAAAAAAUAUUGAUUUGUGGGAUCAAAGAUGUAUAAAUAAAAUACUUUAAAUA